GGGAAGGGAAUAUCUCCUAACACCUUUUAUGCCUGGGGGUGCCGUAACACAGACCAUUUGCAUAUCAGACUAAUUCCACCCAAAAGGACAGAACAGAUCCAAAAUGCAGGGCAGCUCUCUGCACGAGAGAUACAGCAACCCCAGAUGAUCAUUUCAGUGUUGUUAGGCAUAGUCAGUGAGAGCAAAAAACGAAUUGCAACAGAGUACUGAG